rnacentral:rRNA from 1 species
AUUGAACGCUGGCGGCAUGCCUAACACAUGCAAGUCGAACGGCAGCACGGCAGUAGCAAUACUGUGGGUGGCGAGUGGCGGACGGGUGAGGAAUACGUCGGAAUCUGCCCAGUCGUGGGGGAUAACUAGCCGAAAGGUUAGCUAAUACCGCAUACGACCGAGAGGUGAAAGCGGGGGACCGCAAGGCCUCGCGCGAUUGGAUGAGCCGACGUCGAAUUAGCUAGUUGGAGGGGUAAAGGCCCACCAAGGCGACGAUCCGUAGCUGGUCUGAGAGGAUGAUCAGCCACACUGGAACUGAGACACGGUCCAGACUCCUACGGGAGGCAGCAGUGGGGAAUAUUGGACAAUGGGCGCAAGCCUGAUCCAGCAAUGCCGCGUGUGUGAAGAAGGCCUUCGGGUUGUAAAGCACUUUUAUCAGGAACGAAAAGCGUUAGAUUAAUACUCUGGCGUGCUGACGGUACCUGAGGAAUAAGCACCGGCUAACUUCGUG